rnacentral:rRNA from 1 species
UACGUAGGGGGCAAGCGUUGUCCGGAAUUAUUGGGCGUAAAGCGCGCGCAGGCGGCUCAUUAAGUCUGAUGUGAAAGCCCCCGGCUCAACCGGGGAGGGUCAUUGGAAACUGGGGAACUUGAGUGCAGAAGAGGAUAGUGGAAUUCCAAGUGUAGCGGUGAAAUGCGUAGAGAUUUGGAGGAACACCAGUGGCGAAGGCGACUAUCUGGUCUGUAACUGACACUGAGGCGCGAAAGCGUGGGGAGCAAACAGG